GCCGGGCGCGGUGGCUCACGCCUGUAAUCCUAGCACUCUGGGAGGCCGAGGUGGGUGGAUCACUUGAGGUCAGGAGUUCGAGACCAGCCUGACCAACAUGGUGAAACCCCGUCUCUA
rnacentral:SRP_RNA from 1 species